rnacentral:rRNA from 1 species
UACGUAGGGGGGGCAAGCGUUGUCCGGAAUCAUUGGGCGUAAAGAGCGCGUAGGCGGUCCGGUAAGUCGGUUGUGAAAACUGGGGCUCAACCCUCAGAGGCCGACCGAUACUGUCGGGCUAGAGUUCUGGAGGGGUAGCGGAAUUCCUGGUGUAGCGGUGAAAUGCGUAGAUAUCAGGAGGAACACCGGUGGCGAAGGCGCUACCUGGACAGAAACUGACGUGAGGCGCGAAAGCUAGGGGGAGCAAACAGG